UGGCGGACGGGUGAGUAAUGUCUGGGAAACUGCCUGAUGGAGGGGGAUAACUACUGGAAACGGUAGCUAAUACCGCAUAACGUCGCAAGACCAAAGAGGGGGACCUUCGGGCCUCUUGCCAUCGGAUGUGCCCAGACGGGAUUAGCUAGUAGGUGGGGUAACGGCUCACCUAGGCGACGAUCCCUAGCUGGUCUGAGAGGAUGACCAGCCACACUGGAACUGAGACACGGUCCAG
rnacentral:rRNA from 2 species